GACGAACGCUGGCGGCGUGCUUAACACAUGCAAGUCGAACGGAAAGGCCCUGCUCUUGUUGGGUGCUCGAGUGGCGAACGGGUGAGUAACACGUGAGUAACCUCCCCUUGACUUUGGGAUAACUUCAGGAAACUGGGGCUAAUACCGGAUAGGAUCUCCUGCUGCAUGGUGGGGGUUGGAAAGUUUCGGCGGUUGGGGAUGGACUCGCGGCUUAUCAGCUUGUUGGUGGGGUAGUGGCUUACCAAGGCUUUGACGGGUAGCCGGCCUGAGAGGGUGACCGGCCACAUUGGGACUGCGAUACGGCCCAGACUCCUACGGGAGGCAGUAGUGGGGAAUAUUGCACAAUGGGCGGAAGCCUGAUGCAGCAACGCCGCGUGCGGGAUGACGGCCUUCGGGUUGUAAACAGCUUUCGACUGUGACGAAGCGUGAGUGACGGUAAUGGGUAAAGAAGCACCGGCUAACUACGUG
rnacentral:rRNA from 1 species